CCAGUAGUGAGAAAGGCUUGGAAAAAUCACUGAUCUAAGCCAGAGAAUUCAAAAUCAGGCUCGAACAACCAUGGCAUGCUGGAGCAAGGCCGGAGAUGGUCGUAGAACUCAAAUCAAACGAAUCCUGGACAAAACUUCAUUGUGGUCAGGCUUUGAAUCUUCAAAAACCAGGCGUGUAGGAGUUACAGUAGGCCGUUGUAGGUCUCCGAUGGCCUUGGAAGCCAUCGGUUCUGGUGGCUUUAGGGUGGAAAUAGAGGUGGCGGCUAAGGUUUCUGAGAGUGAUUGGGAGAGAGUUGAGAGAAGGGGAAUCCAGGGGUG
rnacentral:lncRNA from 1 species